rnacentral:rRNA from 1 species
CUCAGUUCGGAUCGAAGUCUGNAACCCGACUUCGUGAAGCUGGAUUCGCUAGUAAUCGCGCAUCAGCCAUGGCGCGGUGAAUACGUUCCCGGGCCUUGUACACACCGCCCGUCAAGCCAUGAAAGCCGGGGGUACCUGAAGUACGUAACCGCAAGGAUCGUCCUAGGGUAAAACUGGUAAUUGGGGCUAAGUCGUAACAAGGUACC